GCUGGGCGUGGUGGCGGGCACCUGUAGUCCCAGCUACUCAGGAGGCUGAGGCAGGAGAAUCGCUUGAACCCAGGAGGCAGAGGUUGCAGUGAGCCGAGAUCGCCCCAUUGCACUCCAGCCUGGGUGACAGAGUGGGACUCUGUCUCAAAAAAAAAAAAAAAGUUUGUUACUUUUUUUUUUUUGAGACGGAGUUUCGCUUUUGUCACCCAGGCUGGAGUGCAAUGGGGCGAUCUCGGCUCACUGCAACCUCUGCCUCCUGGGUUCAAGCGAUUCUCCUGC
rnacentral:SRP_RNA from 10 species